AUUGAACGCUGGCGGAAUGCUUUACACAUGCAAGUCGAACGGUAGAGGGGGCAACCCCUCGAGAGUGGCGAACGGGUGAGUAAUAUAUCGGAACGUGCCCAGUCGUGGGGGAUAACGUAGCGAAAGUUACGCUAAUACCGCAUACAAUCUAAGGAUGAAAGCGGGGGAUCGCAAGACCUCGCGCGAUUGGAGCGGCCGAUAUCAGAUUAGGUAGUUGGUGGGGUAAAGGCUCACCAAGCCAACGAUCUGUAGCUGGUCUGAGAGGACGACCAGCCACACUGGAACUGAGACACGGUCCAGACUCCUACGGGAGGCAGCAGUGGGGAAUUUUGGACAAUGGACGCAAGUCUGAUCCAGCCUUUCCGCGUGCAGGAUGAAGGCCCUCGGGUUGUAAACUGCUUUUGUACGGAACGAAAAGGUCUCUCUUAAUACGGGGGACUCAUGACGGUACCGUAAGAAUAAGCACCGGCUAACUACGUGCCAGCCGCCGCAGUAA
rnacentral:rRNA from 1 species